GCUGGGCAUAGUGGUGGGUGCCUGUUGUCCCAGCUUCUCAGGAGGCUGAGGUGGGAGGAUCACUUGAGCCCAGGAAGUAGAGGUUGCAGUGAGCUGAGAUUGCACCACUGCAUUCUAGCCUGGGCAACAGAGUGAGAUCCUGUCUCAA
ensembl:misc_RNA Metazoa_SRP Metazoan signal recognition particle RNA